UCAACUUGUAGACCCACGCCGUCAGUUUAGGAUAACCCCGUCUGCCCAAGUUUACUCCCGUCUGCCUAAUUACUCCUGUCAGUCUAAUUUUACUUCCGUCAGCUUCAGGAUGCCCGGUUACAUGUGUGCUCUUCCUUUACUCCCCUGUCAGCCUUGAAGACUUGCUGACGGUACAGUUCCCUCUCGUCAGCUUUGUCAAGCUUGCCCGUCACCCUUAUCUAACUAGUUUUAUCCUCAUCAGCUUGGUCCUCAGGAAUGGCUCUCUCUCUCACCAAAGCUUCCAUCUUCUCCAAGCUCCAUGUCCGUACUACCCACUACUCUCUCAUCAAACCCAUGCCCACCACCAUCUCUCGCUCAUUCUUUUUCAACUUCUUCAAAAGCAACAACAAUGAAAAGCCACUGGAAAACCAAGAUGACUAAAAAAGAACUUUCAAAACCAAAAGGCAGAGAGCUUACUGAGGAGGAAGAAGAAGAGCUGAGAGCCAUGGAAGUUGUAGUAGAAGAGCAGGAAGAAUUUGGGCUAGAAUGUGUUAAAGUUAGAGAAAUGAUGAAGGAAACAUUAGUACUUAUGGAUGAAUACAUAGAGGGGAUAGAUGAAGUACAACGCAAUGUUGAAAAGGCUGUGGAAUGGCUUCGAGCAUUUCAUGAUGAUGGGUUUAAGCAGGUAGCCCAUAGAGGAAGAAACAACAUGUUAGAGACACUAAAAAGUUUCAAGCUUUUUUCAUUAUUUUCAUAUGGGUCUACUGUCACUUUGAUUAGUGUGUCACUCUAUGGGGUGAUGAAAAAAGUUGUGAAAUUUUGUGUGUGUUACUCUAUAUGUUUUAUUUUGGGGGGUUUUGAUGGUUGGCUAAUAACUUAGUUUGGAAUAUAAAUGUGGAACCUACUUAGAUGCAUGUGUUAUGUGUAGUCUAAUCUUUUGAUGAGACCACGCCUUAUAAAGCGGAGGUCGUUAAUUUGAAUUGUUGGAUUUUAGAAUCUUUUGUUUAACGGAGUUUAUUUAGAUGAUGUUGUAUUGUUGGAAUGGUUAUGAUCUAGGUUCUUAUGAUGCUUAUUAGUACUUACUGAAUAACAUAUGGCUUGGUAUUGUUUGAGCUUGAAAAUUUUAUGUGGAUUGAUUUAGUUCUUAGUUUGAACUCAUACUCAAAAUAAGGGUUUUUUUGUAACUCUUUUCAUGACAUAAUUGUUGCAAUUUAAAAAUGAUGUUAUUAGAGGGUUCAUACAAAAGUGACAUUGCCUCAAUCACAACUAGCUAGCUGGUAAGUUGUGAGAAUGGUUGUGCAAUUUUUUAUCUCUAGGGUAACUCUUUGAUGGUUGGCUUGGAAUAUAAACAUCGGACACAUUUAACUACAUGGCUAGUACAAUCUAUUGACAACCACACCUCAUGAAAGGGAGGUCCCUUUGACUGGUUUGAAUGAAUGUUUGGGAUUUUAAAAUGAUGUGUUUAAACUCUACUGGAGUUUUAUUUAGAUGUUGUUGCUUUAUUGGAAUGGCUAUAAUCAAAAUUCUUGUAAUGCUUAUAAGUUCUUAGUAGAUGACAUAUUGCUUAAAAUUGUUUGAAUUUGAAUACUCUAUGUAGGGUGGCUUGAUUCUUGUUACGAAAUCAAAUAUGAAAUCAUGGCACUUUGAGUUGAGUUCAAUAUGAAACCUAGUCAUUACGAGGGAGCACGCAAUGAGAAAUGCAAGAUGGACUAGACCAGAGCAAAGAGUCAUCAAGAUAAAUUGUGAUGCUGCAGUCAAUCAAAACAAGUCUUAUGUGGCUAUUGUGGCGAGAGAGUGGAGAGGGACAUUGGUUUUUCCUAUGUCCAAAAGGGUGGAAAUCAUUAUCCCACUUCAAGCCGAAGCUGAAGCCAUCAAUUGGGCAACUCAACAAGACUUGAAGUUGGACGCUUACUCUUUUAUUGUGGAAAGUGAUGCCAAAGUUUGUGUGGAGGCUUCUCAGAAGCAAAACAGAGAUGAUACAAUUAGGCUAGCGCAUCUCUCACAAAAUAUAAAUUUUAACUAGGUUCCAAGAGAAGCAAAUAAUGCGGCCCACUACUUAGCAACCUGGUCUUUAUCAAACAUGCUGGCGGGUUCUUUUGUUUUGGGCUCUACCCCUCAAGUGUUCUCUGAUGUAGUUAUAGAUGAGCAUGUUUAAUUGGAUAUUUAGUGUAGUUUGUAUAGUUUCUGCUUCAACAAAAUCUUCUUGAUUUUCAUCCAAAAAAAAAAGAGUAACGAGUAUUGUUUUAUUAACAUUAGAGUUUGUUAUUUGCUAUUAUUUUGUUA